rnacentral:rRNA from 1 species
AUCCGUAGGUCACAAGCGUUAUCCGGAUUUACUGGGCGUAAAGGGCGUGUAGGAGGUCUUGCCAGCCAGCAGUGAAAUGCCUGGGCUCAACUCGGGCGCCGCUUCUGAAACUGCAGUACCUGAGUGCUGGAGGGGGUAGCGGAAUUCCUAUGGGAGCGGUAAAAUGCGUAGAGAUUUGGAAGAACCCCAGUGGCGAAGGCGUCUCUCUGGUCGGUACCUGAGGUUGAGGAUCGAAUGCGUGGGUAGCGAACAGGAUUAGAUACCCUGGUAGUCCACGCCGUAAACGAUGAGUGCUAAGUGUUAGGGGGUUUCCGCCCCUUAGUGCUGCAGCUAACGCAUAAGCACUCCGCCUGGGGAGUACGGUCGCAAGACUGAAACUCAAAGGAAUUGACGGGG